UUGACCACCAGAUGAUGGAGGUCCUUUUAAUGUUGCUCUCCUACCUAACUUCAUGCCAACCAUCCCAUAUUUGUGGAGGAUUUUGUGGGGUUUUGAAUUUUGAAUUCAAAAUUCAAGUUUAUGUGCCAUUACAUGAUGAAGCUUGAUCUAAUCUAAACUAUUCAUCAUGUUGCCACUUUCCUCUUUCAAUUUCAAAAUUCCCAUGCCCCCAAACAGAUUAGAGGGUCACGUGGUGAUUUUGUGAUGAUUAAAUUCGAAAUUCAACCUUAAUUAGAAGUGAAAUAAAGAUAAGGAUGACAUAUGUCAUGAAGAGAGAGAAUUUGAUCUUAUCCAAUUCUUUUCAUGAAUUUAUCUCUCCAUUUCGACCCAUCUAAUGAUGAAAGAGGUCCCUGAU
rnacentral:lncRNA from 1 species